rnacentral:tRNA from 1 species
UCCUCCGUGGCGCAAUUGGCUAGCGCGUCUGACUGUUAAACCCAAUGGUUCGGCGAUCAGGAGGUUCGUGGUUCGAGCCCACGCGGGGGAG